rnacentral:rRNA from 1 species
GACGAACGCUGGCGGUGUGCUUAACACAUGCAAGUCGAACGGUAAGGCCCUUUCGGGGGUACACGAGUGGCGAACGGGUGAGUAACACGUGAGUAACCUGCCCUCAUCUCUGGGAUAACAGCCGGAAACGGUUGCUAAUACUGGAUAUGAGCUUGCAAGGCAUCUUGUGGGUUGGAAAGAUUUUUUUGGUUGGGGAUGGACUCGCGGCCUACCAGCUUGUUGGUGAGGUAGUGGCUCACCAAGGCUUCGACGGGUAGCCGGCCUGAGAGGGCGACCGGCCACAUUGGGACUGAGAUACGGCCCAAACUCCUACGGGAGGCAGCAGUGGGGAAUAUUGCACAAUGGACGGAAGUCUGAUGCAGCAACGCCGCGUGCGGGAUGACGGCCUUCGGGUUGUAAACCGCUUUCAAUUGUGACGAAGCUUUUUGUGACGGUAGCAGUAGAAGAAGCACCGGCUAACUACGUG